GUAGGUGGCAAGCGUUGUCCGGAAUUAUUGGGCGUAAAGCGCGCGCAGGCGGUUCUUUAAGUCUGAUGUGAAAGCCCACGGGCUCAACCGUGGAGGGUCAUUGGAAACUGGAGAACUUGAGUACAGAAGAGGAAAGCGGAAUUCCACGUGUAGCGGUGAAAUGCGUAGAGAUGUGGAGGAACACCAGUGGCGAAGGCGGCUUACUGGUCUGUAACUGACGCUGAGGCGCGAAAGCGUGGGGAGCAAACAGGAUUAGAUACCCUGGUAGUCCACGCCGUAAACGAUGAGUGCUAAGUGUUAGGGGGUUUCCGCCCCUUAGUGCUGCAGCUAACGCAUUAAGCACUCCGCCUGGGGAGUACGGCCGCAAGGCUG
rnacentral:rRNA from 1 species